rnacentral:rRNA from 1 species
AUACGGCGGAUCCGAGCGUUAUCCGGAUUUAUUGGGUUUAAAGGGAGCGUAGGCGGACGCUUAAGUCAGUUGUGAAAGUUUGCGGCUCAACCGUAAAAUUGCAGUUGAUACUGGGUGUCUUGAGUACAGUAGAGGCAGGCGGAAUUCGUGGUGUAGCGGUGGAAUGCUUAGAUAUCACGAAGAACUCCGAUUGCGAAGGCAGCCUGCUGGACUGUAACUGACGCUGAUGCUCGAAAGUGUGGGUAUCAAACAGGAUUAGAUACCCUGGUAGUCCACACAGUAAACGAUGAAUACUCGCUGUUUGCGAUAUACAGUAAGCGGCCAAGCGAAAGCGUUAAGUAUUCCACCUGGGGAGUACGCCGGCAACGGUGAAACUCAAAGGAAUUGGCGGGG